UUGAUAACUAUUUUGUAUUUUUCGCAAGAAUUGUUGAAGGUUUUUUGCUGUUUUGAUCUAAGGUGAGUGCAAAGUUAAUGUUUUUUUACUUUUACUAUUGCCAGUUUCCUUUUUUGAAUAAUCUUUUCUUCAGGUUUGAUGUUGCUUCAUUUUGAUUUGGGGUUUCUCUACAUUAAUGUUUGUUUUUUUAGAUUAAUAUUGAAAGUUUUGGAUUACAUUCAGUUAAACUAUAAACUCAAAAAGCACUUAUAAUUUUUUGGAUAAACAUUAUGGAGCAAAUCCCAACAAUGGUGAUUGGUUUAUAGCAAAUACUGAAAAAAACAUGUGUCAGAUUCAUUGUUUGAAUGGAAUUGGUUUUUAUAUUAUUUGAAAAGGGUUUUUCUUUAAUAUCAUAUUUUUUUCUAGGAUUUGUUGAAAGUUGUUGGCUAAUCCAGUUUAAAUUGAGUUCACGGUUAAGGUUAUGUUCUAUUAUUGUUGUUUUUUUUUUUUUCUUCUUUAAUUGCCUAUGUUGUGUUAUUUUCAGUUAGUUUUUGGUUAUCUUGACUCAAUUGUUUUUAGGUGUUUCUCAUUUUCUUAUUUUGUUUCUUGAUAUCUUGAAUUUUUUUUUUGGCAAGUUGUUGUGCCAUUUUCUACUUUUUUUUUAUUAUAUGUACACAUUUGUUGGUUAUUUUUUCUAUCAAGUAGUAGCUUUUAACCAUUAAUCCUAUUAAUCAAGCAUGGGAGAAUAAAAUUAGGAUAUUAGAAAGGUUAAGAUGAAAUAGGGUUGAAAGGCAUGACAAUAUUACUUUACGUACAUUUCCUCAAUUUGUUAUUGAUGGAUCUCGAGAUGAUAAACCUGUUUGUUAGGUUAAGGGUAGAGGUAUUAUGAUAUCUAAUGAUACACGGGUUAGAAGAAGAAGACCUUUAGUUUUGGUUAAUAAUUUGAUGGGAUUGGCCAGUGUUGUAUUAAGAGAUAGCUUUGUCGAUUCUAAUGGAGAAAAUGAAUUUCCAUUUCAUAUAUCAUUGCAUUCAAGUGUUGGUGUUAAUGGGGAAUUAAAGACAAUUAUUGUUAAAUCAUCUAAAUAUUUUAUUUAAGAGAUUCAAUUACUCAUAUGUCGAGAAAAAGGAAAUUCAGGUUCCCAUUGGAUGGUUUAACAAGUUCUUUCAGAUGUGGUAAAGGUUCAAACAUGGUUGUCAUAGAGCCUAUAGGUGAGAUGCAUGAUAUGACAAUUGGCUUAAAAGGCCAAGAAGAAGCUAGGAAUUGUGAGAAGGGGAAAAAAUCAAAUAAGCAUUCAAAAAAAUGCAACGUGUUUUUACAUAAAAGGAUUCAAUGCACCAUGGUACAAUGAGAUUUUAAAGGAAGGCUAUCUGUACUCAAUAGCUUGAUUUCAAGUUAAGAAUUGUAAGUACAACUACAAUACCGUUCUUGGACUAUUCAAUAUUUGUCUAACAAGAACAACUCAAGUUGAAGAAAUAUAAGAAAACAUGACUACAUAUCCUUAGCAUUAUUUUAACUUCAUACCUUAUGACAAUCUCAAUGACAAAAUCGGUCAUGACAAAUAUUUAAUAGGUUCCUUAUCUGUUUAUAUUUAUAAUUAGGAUUUUUUUCUUCCAUUUUGUUUUAACUUAUCAUUGUAAGUAGAUUUCAUUAGAGUUUUUUGUGUCGAUUGUGGCUAUCAUGCAAGUUUGGUUGAAUAAUAAAUUUGAAGAUGUUGCCAAGCGAGAUGUUUAUAUUCAAGAUAUUAGUUUUUUGUUUGCUUAGAAAUAUGUUCCAUACCGUUUGAGACAUUUACAUGAUACUUCAUUUCUUUUUCCAUUUUUUUCUCUCAAUAGCAACAAUUACUACUUACAAACAUGGGAUAUCAUUUAAAGGUAGUUCUUUAUGGAACCAUGGUAUCUACAAUCAAAGAAGAAAUCUUUAUUUUUUAAAUAAAGAAUUGUAUGCUAAUCUCCAUAGGAAUAAUGGUAAAAAUAUAUGGGUUUUUUUUUUAGACAUGACCUUCUG